rnacentral:ncRNA from 1 species
UUUGAAAUCACCAUUAGGAUAGUUGGAGCCCAAAAGUAAGUUAUAUUGGGUAAAGCUAAUGAUUAGAGGAAUCAAGGAUGUAAUACCCUCAAGCUAUUCCCAAACUUUAAAUAGGUAGGACAAAAUGACUAUUAUGUUACGUUAUUCUAUGGAAUCAAGAGCAUUAAGUGGACCAUUUUUUGUAAACAAAACUGGCGAUGUGUGGGAUGAACCGAAAGUUGGGUUACAAUGCCCUACUACGUGCUAAUCUAGACUCCACAAAGGGUGUUGGUCUAUUAAGACAAUAGGAUGGUGGUUAAGGAAGUAAAAAUAUGCUAAGGAAUGUGUAACAACUCACUUGAUGAAUCAACUAGCCCAAAAAUGGAUGGCGUUAAAGCACACAACCUAUAACCAAUCACUGGGUCAUGGACCAAACCCUAAUGAGUAGGA